GUCCAUAAUCUGGAAGGUAAGUC
rnacentral:snRNA from 1 species